AGGGAAGCCUCCUCUUCCUCUCCCCUCAGGACAGCGCUCUGCCGUCCACAGACUGCUGAGGAGGCGCCACAACGCAGAGAGAAUCAGACAUUAAAGCCAGACACAGAUGUGCUCGCUGAGAACAGCAGUGGUGACCCUGGAAGGAGGAGAAGAGUAGUGCAUCCUGUGGGUGGGGAGAGGAUACUUUUUACACACUGGAAUGUGAGGAGGCCAGGUACAGUAAGAUAACAAUUUCCAAGGCCUAGCUUCCUGUCUCCGGCUUUCAACACCUCAACGGUCACAAAUACGCUGCGUUCAAGAUCUGCAUUAUGUGCAGCCCUCAGUAGGGUCCAGCCCGAGCCGCAGCCCCCUGAGGUCCCAGCGCAGGCGCGUAGGCACCGCUUCCACUCCUCCCACCUCUCCCUCUGUCCUCGCGCCUGUGGGUUGGUGUCGGGGUCAAACCCCCCACACCCUCCGCAGGCACUGGGUGGGGUGUGCACUGCGCUCACGGAGCCUCUGCUUUCUCCCUUCACCACGCUUUCUCCCCAGCUCUGGCCUCCACCGAACACGCUCAGUCUGGACGUUGCCCUGCUUGGGUGUUCUUCUGACUUGGACGUGCAAACUGUGGUCAAGCACAUGGUGAAUAUUUACAUUCAAAGAAAUUAUUAGAGGAAAGGACAUUGCCACUCAUCCUCAUAUUUUCCCCUGGCUUUGAGCACACUUCUCCCAUUGUUCUUCCCACUUGCGGAGCAGUCCUGGGCGUCCUCUUUAGUCACGCCGCUCUGCCUGCCUCCACGCUCUGAAAUGAUUCAAAACAUUGACCUUCCGUGUUCAUCUCGGCUUUGUGGACGAGCCAGAAGUCGCACGGUGCCAGAUCCAGUGAAUAAGGUGGGUGAGGACCGCUGCCGUGUUUUUAUCUGACAGAAAUUGCUGUAAACAUUUUGGAUGAAUUCACUACAUUGAGGCAGCCACAACAGCACAGCUGAAGACACCCAUGAAAGAGGUCUUCCCGAGCCUCUUCGGACUGUGACAAGGACGAUGACAUAAGUCUGAAGUGAGCAAGAGUUAUUUUGUGGGGGAUUAGUGACAAUGUGUUUUUUACUGUAACACUGUACUUUUUUAAAAAUUUAAACACACAUCAUUGGGUUUUUUUUUUUUUUUGAUCAAUCCUUGUUU
rnacentral:lncRNA from 1 species